GCCUCCGUGGCGCAUUCGGAUAGCGCGUUCGGCAGUUAACCGAAAGGUUGAUGGUUCGAGCCCACUGUGGGCA